rnacentral:tRNA from 1 species
GCGGACGUAGCUCAGUUGGCAGAGCACGGCAUCCCUCGGCGCCCAACUUGCCCAGCCCUUGGUGGUCUGGGCCGAUUGUUGAGGGUUAUCGACUCAUAAUCGCGAGGUCGUGGGUUCGAGUCCCACCGUCCGCC